AUUGAACGCUGGCGGCAGGCUUAACACAUGCAAGUCGAGCGGGGGGAGGUAGCUUGCUACCUAACCUAGCGGCGGACGGGUGAGUAAUGCUUAGGAAUCUGCCUAUUAGUGGGGGACAACAUUUCGAAAGGGAUGCUAAUACCGCAUACGCCCUAAGGGGGAAAGCAGGGGAUCUUCGGACCUUGCGCUAAUAGAUGAGCCUAAGUCGGAUUAGCUAGUUGGUGGGAUAAAGGCCUACCAAGGCGACGAUCUGUAGCGGGUCUGAGAGGAUGAUCCGCCACACUGGGACUGAGACACGGCCCAGACUCCUACGGGAGGCAGCAGUGGGGAAUAUCGGACAAUGGGGGGAACCCUGAUCCAGCCAUGCCGCGUGUGUGAAGAAGGCCUUUUGGUUGUAAAGCACUUUAAGCGAGGAGGAGGCUACCGAGAUUAAUACUCUUGGAUAGUGGACGUUACUCGCAGAAUAAGCACCGGCUAACUCUGUGCCAGCCGCCGCAGUAAAAC
rnacentral:rRNA from 1 species